ACGUCACGAUUAAUGAGGCGUUCAUCCUGAGCGGAUCAGGUACUGAACGGGGAGUAUUCCAUCGCCGUGCUGAGCACGUCGCGAACUCCUGCAAAAACUCAACACUACCUCGCCUUGCUACACAUUAAUCUGACG
rnacentral:sRNA from 1 species